AGUCUGCUGGCAAGAGCCUGGACAGGCCCUAGAGAAUGAAGAUGACAAGCAGCUUUGACUUCCUUCUGUUUUCAUGUUGAACAGCAGCUGCUGCUAGAGCCUGGUAUGUCUGAGAUGAUUCCCACUCAUCACUGACUCUCUUGGGUGAGAGGAAGCACCACACUCAUCCCUAGAAGAGUCUGAAGAAAAAGUGGAGGAAGCUGGAACUAAGUUCAAUGCAGCUCAACAGCUAUGGGAAGCAUGCCGCUGUGGGAUGUUCAGAGUGGAGGAGGCCACACAUGUGCAGGUGCCGCUCUGGAAACAUCUGGGCUGUGAAGGUGAACACUGCAGGAGAGGUGACCACCACAGAAAGACCAUGGGGCUGGGGAGAGAGAUGCACAGAACAGCUGCUCUUCCAACACUCUGACAUGACUAGUACUAUGAGCAGUCAAGGGCUCUUGGUGUGGGCUGGGGUACAGCCUGGUGGCAGAGUUCUUGCCAGGGUUCCAUCCCCACACCCACUGACAAAUAUACUUACAGAAAUUGGGAUAAUAAUAAGAGCUAGUUGAGUAAUUUAUUGUUAAAUAUUUUUACCACAAGAGGGUGAUCCACAUUAUAUUCCUUGGCUUUAUAUGUCUUCACUAAACCUGAAAUUGGGUAAGACAUGCCAUGGCUGG
ensembl:processed_transcript 2610203C22Rik RIKEN cDNA 2610203C22 gene